GAGAAAAAAAUAUGAUAUUAAGGAGGCGGAAUAAAUUGAAGAAAGAAAGCAAGUACAGGAAACUUUUAGAAGAAAUUAUUUAGCAUCAAAAAACGGUAUACUAUUCGGAAAGAGUUAGUAUAUUGGCGGAACUUCGCAAAAUUGCAUCACUCUAAAGAAUGGAUGGAAUAUCAGCGUAUUUAAUUUUAGCUAUGAGUUGCUGCUAUGCAGUUGGUCAUGAUAUCUUUAAUAACCCCGACACAGAACAAGAAUUGAAUUUAUAACCUAUUAUAAAAUAUCGAAACCAAGAAUCAUCUACUCUUGCAACUAGAUAUGACGGCUGAGUCCUUAAUACGUCGGAAUACUACAUUGUUCAUUGAGGGACAUGACUUAAAACAUAUGAAGAGAUCUCCAAAAACCAAGCUUUCAUUACCUUCAAUUUUCCGGAAGAGCAAAGGUUCAGUAAGAGUUAUUUACGGUUUCGUUGGGAAAUCUGUGGAGCUGCCCUGCGUAAUGCACUUUUUUUGUACUAAUCAUAUAGAAGUUGUUUGGAAGAAGGAAGUCCAAAGACAACCUCCAAUCCAUAAAUUGGUUUAUUUUCAUUCCUUCCGUCAUGCAGCAUCUACGACUACCGGAGAGGAAUACCGAGAUCUUUCGAUAAUUACUAUUCAAAUCUGACAUUACACCACUUGACAGCUAAGGAUCAAGGCUUUUAUAGCUGCGGAACCCAUUCUGCACAAAAAAAUGAGCUCUGUUAUUAUCGUCUCUAUUUUAUAAAGCUAUACGUACUGAAGUCAAGCAAGAAGAUGCCUUCUUUCAAGGAAUUUGAAACAUUACCGGAAAAAGACUUGCCGAAAAAAAAUCAAGUUGAAAAAAGGGUGAAUUCUUCACCCAGAAGUUUUCCGUCUUGGAAUGUCAUAUUCGUUAUAUCAACAAUUUCUCUAUUAGUAUCGAUAUAAAUUUCGCUGUUCAGAUAAUUAUUUUACGAAAUACAGUAUGUUUAAGAAUUAUACAUAAAUAAUUUGAAACUUGUA